AUAGUUAUUGUCGAGCCUGCAACUUUUGUUGCAGAAAGCUCGACAUAGGGAUAGUGAUCCGGCGGCGGCGGCGGCUACGGCGGCUACGGCGGCGGCGUUAGCUAACUUCUUAAAAGCUUUAUAUUUUAGAAGUUAGAAAGACUGUAUGCUUCAUACUUUGUAUAUGGAUGCCUCAUGUUACGAACUUUCCGUCAGUCACAUGUCC
rnacentral:lncRNA from 1 species